rnacentral:lncRNA from 1 species
CUUCUCUUCUUCUUUACUUCUUCUCCUUCUUAUUUUCUUCUUCUCUUCUUCUUCUUCUUCUUCUUCUUCUCCUUCUUAUUUUUUUCUUCUACUCUUCUUCUUCUUCUUCUUCUUAUUCUUAUUCUUAUUCUUAUUCUUCUUCUUCUUCUUCUUCUUUUUCUUCUCCUCCUCCUCCUCCUCCUCCUCCUCUUCUUCUCCUCUUCUCGUCCUCCUCCUCCUCCUCUUCUCCUCUUCU